AUACCUUUCUCGGCCUUUUGGCUAAGAUCAAGUGUAGUAUCUGUUCUUAUCAGUUUAAUAUCUGGUACGUGGGCUAUGUGCCCACAAUGAUAUUAAAUUUAUUUUUUAUGGGGAGAAUCUAAUAUGUAGCUUGCUACUAAGAUUCAUGUGUCGCCCUAGCGUUGCACUAUUGCUUGGGCUUGGCUCAACCCUA
rnacentral:snRNA from 1 species